rnacentral:lncRNA from 1 species
GGGGGAAGCCAGCUGCAUGUCAUAUGGACAUUCAGGCAACCUAGGGUGUGAAUAAUGUGGCAAGGAAAUAAAAGGCCUGCUAGCAAAUGCUCAGUUGAGCUUGGUAAUGGGUCCUCUCCCAGCAUCUCCAGCCAAGAGCUUGACUGCAACCUCAUAUGAGAUUUUGAGCCAUAACCAUUCAGCUAAACUGCUUCUGGAUACCUGACCAUAGAAACUGUGAGAUUAUAAGAGAAGCAGAUCUUAGGGGGACAAGAGUACAUAUGAAACACAGCAGAGGAGUAGGAUAUGUCUUUGAAUGAAGAUGCCUGAGGGACUGAAUAAAGAACCUGGACAACUAAAGAAAAAAGACACCUAUGGAUCAGAAUUGAGACAAUUUCUUCAGAACUUCCAGUUUCCCAAGACGCAACAUUGAAUUCAAUCAGAGGUAAAGAUUCUGGACUAUUGGAUUAAAUGAGGAGGCAGGAGCUACUAUCUCUUGCAGAUGGAGUGUGUGAGAGAGGGAAAGAGCACCUUCAUUGUUGACCAGAAAUGAUCAUCCUCCUUACUGUGUUUCAAGAUAUUCACAGAGCAAGCACCUGGUUGUCCCUGGGUCUUGGACCUUUGCUGGUCAGACGUC